rnacentral:lncRNA from 10 species
AAUGCAAUGGCGCGAUCUUGGCUCACCGCAACCUCCGCCUCCCGGGUUCAAGCGAUUCUCCUGCCUCAGCCUCCUAAGUAGCAGGAACUACAGGUCCUCUCAGGGUGCGCCAUCAUUGUCCGAGGUCAGCCUCGUGGUGGGCCUCCUCCUGAGCGGCAGAUCAACCUCAGCAACAUUCGUGCUGGAAAUCUUGCUCGCCGGGCAGCCGCCACACAACCUGAUGCAAAGGAUACCCCUGAUGAGCCCUGGGCAUUUCCAGCUCGAGAGUUCCUUCGAAAGAAGCUGAUUGGGAAGGAAGUCUGUUUCACGAUAGAAAACAAGACUCCCCAGGGGCGAGAGUAUGGCAUGAUCUACCUUGGAAAAGAUACCAAUGGGGAAAACAUUGCAGAAUCACUGGUUGCAGAGGGCUUAGCCACCCGGAGAGAAGGCAUGAGAGCUAAUAAUCCUGAGCAGAACCGGCUUUCAGAAUGUGAAGAACAAGCAAAGGCAGCCAA